GAAGGUGGCCUGUGAGGGUUGCUGGAGGUAUCAGAAGUGCGAAUGCUGACAUAAGUAACGAUAAAGCGGGUGAAAAGCCCGCUCGCCGGAAGACCAAGGGUUCCUGUCCAACGUUAAUCGGGGCAGGGUGAGUCGACCCCUAAGGCGAGGCCGAAAGGCGUAGUCGAUGGGAAACGGGUUAAUAUUCCCGUACUUGGUGUUACUGCGAAGGGGGGACGGAGAAGGCUAUGUUGGCCGGGCGACGGUUGUCCCGGUUUAAGCGUGUAGGUGUGUGUUCCAGGUAAAUCCGGUUCACUUUAACACUGAGGCGUGAUGACGAGGCACUACGGUGCUGAAGCAACAAAUGCCCUGCUUCCAGGAAAAGCCUCUAAGCAUCAGGUAACAUCAAAUCGUACCCCAAACCGACACAGGUGGUCAGGUAGAGAAUACCAAGGCGCUUGAGAGAACUCGGGUGAAGGAACUAGGCAAAAUGGUGCCGUAACUUCGGGAGAAGGCACGCUGACAUGUAGGUGAAGUGAUUUACUCAUGGAGCUGAAGUCAGUCGAAGAUACCAGCUG
rnacentral:rRNA from 1 species